AACAGGGAUUGCCUUAGUAGCGGCGAGUGAAGCGGCAAAAGCUCAAAUUUGGAAUCUGGCGUCGUUGGCGCCCGAGUUGUAAUUUGAAGAAGGUGUCUUUGGGCAUGGCUCUUGUCUAUGUUUCUUGGAACAGGACGUCACAGAGGGUGAGAAUCCCGUGCGACGAGAGGCCCAGCCCGUGCAAAGUGCCUUCGACGAGUCGAGUUGUUUGGGAAUGCAGCUCUAAGUGGGUGGUAAAUUCCAUCUAAAGCUAAAUAUUGGCGAGAGACCGAUAGCGAACAAGUACUGUGAAGGAAAGAUGAAAAGAACUUUGAAAAGAGAGUGAAAAAGUACGUGAAAUUGUUGAAAGGGAAGGGCUUGAGGUCAGACUGGGUUCGCCCGGCCAGCAUCAGUUUGGGUGGCGGGACAAGAGCGAGGGAACGUGGCACCGCUUCGGCGGUGUGUUAUAGCCCGCGCAGAUGCCGCCAGCCUGGACUGAGGACUGCGUCUU
rnacentral:rRNA from 1 species